GGAGAGUUUGAUCCUGGCUCAGGAUGAACGCUGGCGGCAGGCUUAAUACAUGCAAGUCGAACGGUAACAGAGCUAGCAAUAGCUGCUGACGAGUGGCGGAUGGGUGCGUAACGCGUAUGCAACCUACCUGUAAUUGGAACAUAACGUUGAGAAAUUAGCGCUAAUAUUCCAUGUGGAUAUGAGACGGCAUCGUUUUAUAUUUAAAGAUUUAUUGAUUACAGAUGGGCAUGCGUAUCAUUAGCUAGUUGGUAAGGUAACGGCUCACCAAGGCAACGAUGAUUAGGGGUUCUGAGAGGAUAUCCCCCCACACUGGAACUGAGACACGGUCCAGACUCCUACGGGAGGCAGCAGUAGGGAAUAUUGGGCAAUGGAGGCAACUCUGACCCAGCCAUGCCGCGUGAAGGAAUACAGCCCUACGGGUUUUAAACUUCUUUUAUUAUAGAGUAACCGGAGGUACGUGUACCUCCCUGCAAGUAUAUAAUGAAUAAGGAUCGGCUAACUCCGUGCCAGCAGCCGCGGUAAUACGGAGGAUCCGAGCGUUAUCCGGAUUUAUUGGGUUUAAAGGGUGCGCAGGCUGAUCGAUAAGUCAGGGGUGAAAAAUUUCAGCUUAACUGGAAUCGUGCCUUUGAUACUGUCGGACUAGAGUGUAACUGACGUGACUGGAAUGUGCCGUGUAGCGGUGAAAUGCUUAGAUAUGUCACAGAACGCCAAUCGUGAAGACAGGUCACGAAGUUACUACUGACGCUCAUGCACGAAAGCGUGGGGAUCAAACAGGAUUAGAUACCCUGGUAGUCCACGCUGUAAACGAUGAUUACUCGUUGUUGGGCAUUUAUGCUCAGUGGCCAAGCGAAAGUGAUAAGUAAUCCACCUGGGGAGUACGAUCGCAAGGUUGAAACUCAAAGGAAUUGACGGGGGCCCGCACAAGCGGAGGAGCAUGUGGUUUAAUUCGAUGAUACGCGAGGAACCUUACCCGGGCUUGAACGUGAGACGAAUAUAUAAGAGAUUAUAUAGCCUUCGGGCGUCUUGCGAGGUGCUGCAUGGUUGUCGUCAGCUCGUGCCGUGAGGUGUUAGGUUAAGUCCUGCAACGAGCGCAACCCCUACACUUAGUUGCCAGCAUGUCAUGAUGGGGACUCUAAGAGAACUGCCUACGCAAGUAGAGAGGAAGGUGGGGAUGACGUCAAAUCAGCACGGCCCUUAUGUCCGGGGCUACACACGUGCUACAAUGGUAUGUACAGAGGGCAGCCACCUGGUGACAGGGAGCAAAUCCUCAAAACAUAUCUCAGUUCGGAUUGGAGUCUGUAACUCGACUCUAUGAAGUCGGAUUCGCUAGUAAUCGCACAUCAGCCAUGGUGCGGUGAAUACGUUCCCGGGCCUUGUACACACCGCCCGUCAAGCCAUGGAAGCUUGUGGUGCCUGAAGUCCGUACCCGUAAGGAGCGGCCUAGGGUAAAACAGGUAACUGGGGCUAAGUCGUAACAAGGUAGCCGUACCGGAAGGUGUGGCUG
rnacentral:rRNA from 1 species